rnacentral:rRNA from 1 species
GAUGAACGCUGGCGGCGUGCCUAAUACAUGCAAGUCGAGCGAACAGACGAGGAGCUUGCUCCUCUGACGUUAGCGGCGGACGGGUGAGUAACACGUGGAUAACCUACCUAUAAGACUGGGAUAACUUCGGGAAACCGGAGCUAAUACCGGAUAAUAUAUUGAACCGCAUGGUUCAAUAGUGAAAGACGGUUUUGCUGUCACUUAUAGAUGGAUCCGCGCCGCAUUAGCUAGUUGGUAAGGUAACGGCUUACCAAGGCAACGAUGCGUAGCCGACCUGAGAGGGUGGUCGGCCAAACUGGAACUGAGACACGGUCCAGACUCCUACGGGAGGCAGCAGUAGGGAGUCUUCCGCAAUGGGCGAAAGCUUGACGGAGCAACGCCGCGUGAGUGAUGAAGGUCUUCGGAUCGUAAUACUCUGUUAUUAGGGAAGAACAAAUGUGUAAGUAACUAUGCACGUCUUGACGGUACCUAAUCAGAAAGCCACGGCUAACUACGUG